GGACCAGGGUAAUCCGACUGUUUAAUUAAAACAAAGCAUCGCGAAGGCCCUAGGCAGGUGUUGAUGCAAUGGGAUUUCUGCCCAGUACUCUGAAUGUCAAAGUGAAGAAAUUCAAUGAAGGACGGGUAAAUGGCGGGAGUAACUAUGAUUCUCCUAAGGUAGCCAAAUGCCUCGAUAAAAAAAAAAGUUACAAAUUGUGAGUGUGUUAGUGUGAGUAUG